CAGCCAUCAUUUAAAGAAAGCGUAAUAGCUCACUGGUCGAGUCGGCCUGCGCGGAAGAUGUAACGGGGCUAAACCAUGCACCGAAGCUGCGGCAGCGAAGGUAUCACCCAAGACAACUUUACGGAGUUGACGAUUGACGGAGCGAAGCGACGUCAAAGCGUAUACAAAGUCGAGUUGGCUUAGGGAUACGUUCGUUGGGUAGGGGAGCGUUCUGUAAGCCUGUGAAGGUGGCCUGUGAGGGUUGCUGGAGGUAUCAGAAGUGCGAAUGCUGACAUAAGUAACGAUAAAGCGG
rnacentral:rRNA from 1 species